AUGGCCAAUCUGGGGUGCCAAUGUGAUUCUGAACCAGGCAAGAAACUAGAAAUUCAACCUGGAGAACUGGACUUCCAUUGAACCAAAUGAUCCCAUGUUCCUCUUGGACUGGCAUUUAUUUGCUGAAUACCUCCAUGUUCCUAUCUCAUGCUAGCCUCUGUUGGUGCAGCUCUGAAAACACUGUAAGAAUACCAUCCAUUCUAUGAGGGCUGGGAGGGUGGCUGUAUCCAUGUCUGCAGCAUGAGGUAG
rnacentral:lncRNA from 1 species